CACCUGAGAAAGUACCAAGGACUAAGUCGUUUAGACCUUGCUCUGUUAAUUUAAUGCUUCCUUGAAUGUACACAUAUGUAAACACCCAGUGCAGAGCUUUUAGUUUUGGGUCAGAAGUGUUUGUUCAGCACCUAGGAACAAAGACCCACCCUAUCUUAGAAAACGAAAGUUAGAAUAGACCUGAAACCAGAAUAGAGAAACAAAUCACAAACACAUAGUGCCAGCUCUAGCCUUUUGGGGGCCCUAAGCAGAAUUUAAUUUGGGUCCCCCUCUCCCCUAUCAGUUGGUGGCUACCUAGCGGUCUGGGGCCCUAAGCGACUGCUUAUGCCUGAAGCCGGCCCUGCACGCCCAGAGUGCCAGGAAGAGGAGGGCUUUAAGGGGAGCGGAGUCUCAGGGUUUAUAAGGAACGCGGAACAAUUCAACGGUCUUUUCUAUCCUGCGGAUGCGUCUGCUGAAGGAUUCAAGGGGCUGGUGAACCUUUCACAGGUCCUCUUUGGCCUGCUUAUGAAUUAUUGAAUGGAGGAGAAAUAGAAAUCCUGGGCUGGACUAAGGGCGGGUCAUGCCGCCCCCUGGAUGGUGUCAUCAUGAGGACACGACAGAUUGGACUUGGCCUUCACUAGGGAGUAACACUGUUGGUGCUUGCCUAUGGGGGUGCUAGGCGGAUGUGUCCUGUUUCCAUGCUGAGUCAGCAGGGGGCGACGUGUGCAGAACCAGGGCUGCAGAAAUGCAGUGUCCUCGAAAUCACUAACUGAACUACAGACUACCGAAGCAAACCACAAAAAGCCAAACUAUUUUCCACUUCCCCUUUCCCCUUGGCUUCUGGUGGUCUGCAUGCUUGGUUUGGUGGGCUCGAGGGAGUGGCCUGCUGACAUUAUAAUUCAAUAAUUCAAUAAACAAGGCAUCAAACUGUAACAAUAAAAACUGUAAAAACAUGGAAUUUUGUCAGUUGUGUUUGUGUUAUUAUGGUUUACGGGCCAACCAGGGAUUAGACUGAUUAUUUUCUUUUUAAUUGGGCAAACAAACUACAUGCCAUGAGCAACUUCGUCAAAAAGAAUGACAUAAAUUGGCUGUUAUAAGCAGCACUCAUAGCAAGCAAGCAAGUUUAUUUAUAUAGCACAAUUCAUACAUUGACGCAAUUCAAUGUGCUUUAAAAAGAAAAAUAUAUGAAAGUACAAUAACAUGAAAACAAAUACUCAAAGAAAAACAUCAAUACAAAUGAAUACAUCAUGAUAAUAAUAAAUACAAUAAGAAAACAUAUAAGAUUUAAAAACGGGGUAAAAACAUAAGAAGCUAUAAGGCUAAACAGUGUGGUUAAGUUUAAGUGCUCAGUCAUAGGCAAGUGAGAAGAAGUGUUUUUAACCUGGAUUUAAAAAUUGAUACGUUUGGGGCACGUCUAAGAUCUUCUGGUAGUUAUUUCCAGUUUUGUACAGCAUACGUGCUAAACGCAGUUUAUAAGCAGUUUCAGUUAAACCCUCAUGUCUUCCUGUGGAAUUCACCCUCAGGGUUUUAUUAGCAACACAUGAUCAUGGGAGACACUCAGUCAAGUGGAUAGAGAUCAGUUUGAGAUUCACAAAUUGUU
rnacentral:lncRNA from 1 species